AAAAGACAAAUGACAUGUUACCAGCAAUAGUAAAAGUUGCUUUACAGGAGUCAGCAAGUAAAGCUAAUUAUAGUCAGACUAAUGCUCAUUCCUUGAGGAUGAAGUUUGAGG
rnacentral:lncRNA from 1 species